rnacentral:rRNA from 1 species
UACAGAGGGGCAAGCGUUAUUCGGAAUUAUUGGGCGUAAAGGGCGCGUAGGCGGCCUGGCAAGUGACGGGUGAAAUCCCUCGGCUUAACCGAGGAACUGCGUCCGAUACUGAAAGGCUUGAAUCCGGGAGAGGGAUGUGGAAUUCCAGGUGUAGCGGUGAAUGCGUAGAUAUCUGGAGGAACACCGGUGGCGAAGGCGGCAUCCUGGACCGGCAUUGACGCUGAGGCGCGAAAGCUGAGGGAGCAACGGG